UCGCAGCACACGCUGUCGAGGGGUUUUGCA
rnacentral:misc_RNA from 1 species